rnacentral:rRNA from 1 species
UAAUCAUUAGUUUCUUAAUUAGGAGCUGGUAUGAAAGGUUGGACGAGGGAAUUUCUGUCUCAUAUUAAUUUGUGUUAGAAUUUUAUUUUUAAGUUAAAAAGCUUAAAUGAUUUUAGAAGACGAGAAGACCCUAUAGAGUUUUAUAAUGAUUUUUAUAAGGGUAAAUUUGGAUUAAAAUAUUCUUAUUAAAAUUAAUAUUUUAUUGGGGUGAUAGGAAAAUUAAAGAAACUUUUCUUUUUUAAGAACAUAGAUUUAUGAACAUAUGAUCCAGAAUUUUUGAUUAUAAGAUUAAAUUACCUUAGGGAUAACAGCGUUAUUUUACUAGAGAGUUCAAAUCGAAAGUAAAGUUUGCGACCUCGAUGUUGGAUUAAAAUUUAUUAUUGGUGUAGAAGCUGGUAAAUUAAGUCUGUUCGACUUUUAAAAUUUU